rnacentral:rRNA from 1 species
GAGUUUGAUCAUGGCUCAGAUUGAACGCUGGCGGCAUGCCUUACACAUGCAAGUCGAACGGCAGGCACGGGAGCUUGCUCCUGGUGGCGAGUGGCGAACGGGUGAGUAAUGCAUCGGAACGUAUCCGUGGAGUGGGGGAUAACGUAGCGAAAGUUACGCUAAUACCGCAUAUUCUAGUGAGGCAGGAAAGCGGGGGACCUUCGGGCCUCGCGCUCUUGGAGCGGCCGAUGUCGGAUUAGC